AGCAUCUCUCACAAGCUGAGUGACGUCAGGGUACCCUCUGCCUCCCUGGGCCUCAGUUUCCUUAUGUGAAAUAGAAGGAGUAACCCAGCCAAAGCCUCACUGAGUGGUUGGGAGGAUCUCGUGAUGGGUGAGAAGAUGCUUUGUGAACUGCAAGAUGUAGGGCCUCGCAGAGCCCAUGGGCAUAUGUAUCCUGUGGGUAGCUGUUGGCAGUUGUUCUCUUGGGAUCGGGGGAAGGGUGGUGCCAUGUCCUGUUGAACUCCUGAGAGCUGGCUGGGCAGGAGGGCUGCCCCGCUGGCUCUACCACACGCCUGGGGUCAGGGGGCCUCUCUCUCCAGGCAUCCUCUGGACCUGAGACUCAAGUUACCAUGAGGGGAUCAGUCAGCUACUAGGACUUUUGUCUGCCAGGCUCGCCCCCUCCCCAUCCACCUGGCCCUGGCCUUGAACUCAGGACUGUCAGAAUCCUCCCUUCCACAUUCACUGGGAGAGAGUGGCCCCUUCCCCUGCAAAGAGGGCACCAGGUGUCUGAGACGCAUUCUGCUUGGACCAUCUCCACCCUUGGAGGAGCGGGAUUCACGAGGCAUUUCUAUGUCCCUACUUGUAAUUCCUUCGGACAACCUUGUGAAGUAGAUAAGAUGGCAUUCAUCACUGAUGAUUCUUGCAAUUUUCAAGAUAAGACAGCUGAGCUCAUGAAAAGGGUCACGGGACUGCAUCGGGGAGCGCCAGGCCCAGGAUCCUGGCCGGCCGCAGGGGCAGGGCCUUCCCAGCAAAGCAAACACCUCCCUUCUCCCACUUUUUCCCACAAAGUGAUUGUUUUUGCCUCUUUUUUGGAGGGUGACCCAAUAACCAAUUAACAGUCCUUUGUUCUAUUUUGCCAGGGCAGGGCCCUCUCCCAGGCUGAGAGAGGCAGGGAGCAUCCCUAGGCCCUGGCGUCCCCAGCCAGCCACCCAGGACUUAGCUGUCAUUCUCUACCUUUCUGUGCUUUGCCAUUUGUUUUGUUUUCCUCUAGUUUCCUAGUAAAGGUUGCUUUUGAAAAGCUUCAACCUUGUCUCCCUGAGCAGAGGGGAGGAGUGUUUCCACUCCUGGGCGGUGGGGGAGGACGUUGUGGGGUGUGGCCCAGGGCCUGAGCCAGCCUCCUGGAGACUGGGCGGGAGACUUCAGGGGAAGACUCAGAAACAGCUGUGGGCCUGCCGGCCUCUCCCUCCCAAGCAGCUGCCUUCCCGGCCCUUGGCCAUUUGCACUUGGCGUGGGGGACUCCUGAGGAACGAGAGAUGAAAGCGCAGGGUGGCCUUUCUCCGACUUUAAUGUGCACACGAGUCUCCUGGGAUCUUGCUAAUGUAGAGCAGAGGGGACCACAGCCCGAGCCCCCUGCUGCCUCCCAGAGCGAGGCUCUCCUCAUCGUGGACUCACCGCCCUCUGUGUGCCUCGUCCAUCACAUACAUCCUAAGUGUCCCUCCCAGCCUGUGAGCUUCUAGAAGGCAUUGCAACCCGGCACAGGAGCUGACACUUACAAAUAUUCAGGAACAAGCCAGUCCUCGAAGUCUCAUGUAGGGGAAAGAUCAUGAGAUCUGGAGGUGAAGGAGUGGCCCUAACUGGCCCUAAACACUUCAAGUGCCCCUGGGCACGUGGUUUCAUGGCUCUGAGCCUCGAUUUCUUCCUCUGGGUCUUCCUCUGUCACCCAGGCUGCAGUGCAGUGGCGCAAUCAUGGCUCACCGCAGCCUCCACCUCCUGGGAUCAAGGGAUCCUCCCACCUCAGCACCCCGAGUAGCUGGGACCACAGGCGGACGCCACAGCAUCUGGCUGUUUGUAUAUUUUGUAGACAGGGUUUCACCAUGUUGGCCAGGCUGGUCUCGAAUUCCUGGGCUCAAAUGAUCCACCUGCCUCAGCCUCCCAAAGUGCUAGGAUUACAGGAGUGACCCACCGUGCCCAGCACCCCCUUUACCUCUGAGCAAUCCAUCUCUCUCCUUGGGGGCACCCCAUGAUCUAGACACCACCCACCUUGUUCUGCCUUGGCCAAAAUACCACCUAACUGCCCCCACCUAUGCCAGGUGCCCCUCACCCACCCUCCUCCACCCUUCGCUGAGUCCCACUUGGCUGGUGCCCAGGACAGGGACAGUCCCAGCCCUUCCAGCCCAUCUCCCCACAUCAGUACACUCCGGAGAGCCAGCCAAGAGUAGAUUCUUUAUUCAUUUCUCUUUUUUUUCUUAAAAAAAAAAGUAUUCAUUUGGUAUAAAAAAUAAAUAUUUUAAAUAUGAC
rnacentral:lncRNA from 1 species